GCCCGGCCACUACCGGCCGCCCGCGAGGGCUCUGCGCGGCCGCUCGGCGCGCGCGCUCCGGCGGGGAGCAGGCGACAACUAAUGGAGACAUUUCCAGGCGGAGCACCUGGCGAGCGGAGCGCGCCGGCGUCCCCAGGCGCCGCGGUCGUCAGCCGAGCCCGCACCGGCGUGACGUGGGCGAGCGAGCGCGCUGCUCCCACCCGGCCGCCCAUUAACGCUUUCCCCCGCGGGCGCCGCGCGCUCGCCAACUUUCCCCUCCGCCUGGCCCGCGCCCUGGCUCCGGCAACUGCUGGGGGACAGUGCUCAUUUGCCUUCUCCGACAACGGCACGCUGGGCGGUGUUUGUCUCCGGGCCUCUCGUGUGCCUCUGUUUCCUCCACGGAGCAGGAGAGCCAGCAGUCCCGGCUUCCCGGCCCUGCUGCCGAGCCCAGAGCUUCCGCUGGCUUCUCUGGGAAGGACACAGCUUUGCGGUCUGAGUUCACUCUGGAAACACGAAGCUGGGCCUCGGGCGGGCUACGGGCCUGCAGACACCCUUUCCGACCCUGGGCUGUUGGAGGGGGUUGUGAGAGGGGUGCCUGUAUGUCGGGGGCAUCUGGAAACGUCCUCCAGAGUAAGGCAGGGAGCUUGCUCGAUUCUAGCCGGAAGGAAGUGGAGUCAGGGCGCCGAGGGAGGGAUGACCGCUGUCCCUGCCCUGCUGGCAGCUUCCUCCUCCCUCUUCUUGCCACAGGAUGGUUUUGGCAGGGCCUCGGGGCCAACGGGGACAAGCACGCCAGUCGCUCCCCGCAGAGCCUACCUGGGACUUAGAUUCUUUUCAUAG
rnacentral:lncRNA from 1 species